rnacentral:rRNA from 1 species
UACAGAGGGGGCAAGCGUUGUUCGGAAUUACUGGGCGUAAAGGGCGCGUAGGCGGCCUGUUAAGUCGAACGUGAAAUCCCCGGGCUCAACCCGGGAACUGCGUCCGAUACUGGCAGGCUUGAAUUCGGGAGAGGGAUGCGGAAUUCCAGGUGUAGCGGUGAAAUGCGUAGAUAUCUGGAGGAACACCAAUGGCGAAGGCAGCUCGCUGGGACGUGACUGACGCUGAGACGCGAAAGCGUGGGGAGCAAACAGG